rnacentral:rRNA from 1 species
CAGUCGCCGCGGGAAUACGUAGGUGGCAAGCGUUGUCCGGAAUUAUUGGGCGUAAAGCGCGCGCAGGUGGUUUAAUAAGUCUGAUGCGAAAGCCCACGGCUCAACCGUGGAGGGUCAUUGGAAACUGUUAAACUUGAGUGCAGGAGAGAAAAGUGGAAUUCCUAGUGUAGCGGUGAAACGCGUAGAGAUUAGGAGGAACACCAGUGGCGAAGGCGGCUUUUUGGCCUGUAACUGACACUGAGGCGCGAAAGCGUGGGGAGCAAACAGGAUUAGAGACCCCAGUAGUCCCUGUCUCUUAUAC